rnacentral:ncRNA from 1 species
CGUCAUGACGCUCUCUAUCACGGAGAACGUUAUGAUGAGGAUUAUAGGAAAAGUCGAGUUACGGGAGUUGGUAUUAUACAGCCCACAACACAUAGCCAGAUUGGAAAAGGCAGGUAAGUUCCCCAAGCGGGUACGGCUAGGCCCGAACCGAGUUGGUUGGGUGUUGCAGGAAGUGUUAGAUUGGCUUCAAGAACGGCUCGAUUGUAGAGCAUAACCAAGCUGACACUCCAGAAAUGGAGAUGGGCGGUUGAGAGCAAUCUC